rnacentral:rRNA from 1 species
AUUGAACGCUGGCGGCAUGCUUUACACAUGCAAGUCGAACGGUAACAGGCCUUCGGGUGCUGACGAGUGGCGAACGGGUGAGUAAUGCAUCGGAACGUACCCAGAGGUGGGGGAUAACGCAGCGAAAGCUGUGCUAAUACCGCAUGUGAUCUGGGGAUGAAAGCGGGGGACCGAGCAGCAAUGUUUGGCCUCGCGCCUUUGGAGCGGCCGAUGUCGGAUUAGCUAGUUGGUGGGGUAAAGGCCUACCAAGGCGACGAUCCGUAGCUGGUCUGAGAGGACGACCAGCCACACUGGGACUGAGACACGGCCCAGACUCCUACGGGAGGCAGCAGUGGGGAAUUUUGGACAAUGGGCGCAAGCCUGAUCCAGCAAUGCCGCGUGCGGGAAGAAGGCCUUCGGGUUGUAAACCGCUUUUGGCAGGAACGAAACGGUGUCCGCUAAUACCGGGCGCUAAUGACGGUACCUGCAGAAUAAGCACCGGCUAACUACGU